rnacentral:rRNA from 1 species
GACAGAGGGUGCAAACGUUGUUCGGAGUUACUGGGCGUAAAGCGCGGGCAGGCGGCUCGAAACGUCUGAUGUGAAAUCUCCUCGCUCAACGGGGAGAGGCCAUUGGAAACGGUCGGGCUGGAGGGCAGUAGAGGUAGGCGGAAUUCCGGGUGGAGUGGUGAAAUGCGUAGAGAUCCGGAGGAACACCAGAGGCGAAGGCGGCCUACUGGGCUGCACCUGACGCUGAGCCGCGAAAGCCAGGGGAGCGAACGGG